AGUAACACGUGGGUAACCUGCCUCAUAGAGUGGAAUAGCCUUCCGAAAGGAAGAUUAAUACCGCAUAACGUUGAAAGAUGGCAUCAUCAUUCAACCAAAGGAGCAAUCCGCUAUGAGAUGGACCCGCGGCGCAUUAGCUAGUUGGUGGGGUAACGGCCUACCAAGGCGACGAUGCGUAGCCGACCUGAGAGGGUGACCGGCCACAUUGGGACUGAGACACGGCCCAA
rnacentral:rRNA from 1 species